CCUGACUUGCAAAUCCACUUUGCGCUUUAGAGAAAAUGAAGUUUCUAGCGAGGUUUCUCUUAUUGGCCGUAUUUUCUUUCACAAAUUUUGUGUCUGAAGCAAGUAGCCAAGAAUUGCAAUGUACGACUCACGACCAGUGUUUCUUCCUUUGCUUGACGAGUUGCGCCUCCACGGCAUCCCCUGUCUGCUACUUGGGGCAGUGCUUCUGCCAGCCAGGUAGACUCGGUGCAGCGCGGGCAUUAGCCAAGGCUCCGGUGCCAGUGGAAUUUUAAGCAUCCUAUUAAAUACAAUUAAAAUUAA